rnacentral:pre_miRNA from 1 species
AAGCUGGUGUAGCCAAGGAUGACUUGCCAGCGCUGCGGAUCGGAACUGCUUGCUCUAGCUUCUCUUGAAAGCAAUUCUAGAGGAAGUUUGGCAAGUCGUCCUUGGCUACAUUUUGCGUCU